rnacentral:lncRNA from 1 species
GCUAGUGAAGGUCGGUGUGUUUGCCUUUCAUUGCAACUAAUAUCCUAACCCCUAUUUUCAUAUCCUUCUCCAUUGUUAGAGGUAGAUGGUGUGGGCUUCUUUCUGCCCUAUGGUAGAGUCUAGGGUCUUAGAGAUGAGGCAUCGGGAUCACACACUCCCCUUGUUUCUUGUUAUCUUUCUCUCUCCUCCCUCUUUUUAUGCUAUCCUCCCCCC